AGAAGCUUCCCAGUCCAUAGAACCUGGCAACUGAUGAGGUUCUUUUCAUCUAUUCCUCUUUCAUCUCAACCAAACUUAUUAGGACUUCUUCCAUUUUCACAGUAAUGCGUUUCAUCGUGGCAUCUUCAUUUUCUGUAUCAUCAUAGUUUGCUGUCAUUCAUUGUUCACCCCAUUCUAUUAAAAUGCAUUCUAUACAAGAUCCAGUUACAGCAAUGACAAGCUUGAUCAGCUCAACACUGCAGUGGAGAGAUGUCUCAGCAAGAGAAUUAGCUGAUGCUCAAGGCUGAGGACCUAAUUUUUGGAACCUCAGAACCUACACAAAACCAGCAACAUGCCAUGCAUCUGUAUUCCCAAAAGUCCUGAGGUGAAUGGGAUGCAUAGAUAAGGGCUCCUCAGAAGCUCCAGGACCAGCUACCCUACCCUAACCGUAAUGAACAAAAGGGUCCUGUCUCAUGUAUGGUUCAAGAAUAACCCACGUGUCAUCCAUCAGUCACACAGGAACACAUGCACACACACGUAUCAUACAAAUAUACUAAUAAAAGCAUAUAAAAAGAUAUUUUCCAAAAAUGUUUUAUGCUGAGACACAUUAUAAUUAUAUUUUCAAAAGUUGAAGACAAUGAAUUUUGAGAUUAAUAAGAGAAAAGCAACUCAUUAUAUACUCUGGAAACUCCAUAAGGUUAUCAUUGAAUCUUUCAGUGAGGAUCUGAAUGAUUUUAGUCAAAGUGGGAAUCAAAUAAAAUGAUAGUAACAAAAGCUGUACCAGACAAAAGAGUCUUGUAACAAGGAGAGACAUAUGAACAUUUUUUCCAGACACCAAAACCAGAUGCACUUCAGCAACACUACACUUGCUUAAGAGUGUUUAAAUCUCAUUGGUGCAAGCAAAUAUAUAGAUGAGUAUAUGUUGGGAUCAGAAUGGCUCUGACCCCUCUAAGAUUGCCACCCACCUCCUCUGUUCUGAGUGUGCUGAGGUCAGGCUGUUCCGUGGAUGUUUUGCUGUUUGGUAUAUCUGGUGGUUUGGCAACUGUGGCUUCCUGGGGCAUGCUGACCAUUCCUUGACCCUGGGUGCUUGAUAAACAAUUUUGUUUGUUCCUCCUGAAAGGGUAUAUAAGAUGGGGAAGAAAGAAUAAAAGAGUCCUGAUGCUUGCAACUUGA